CCUACGGGAGGCAGCAGUGAGGAAUCUUGGUCAAUGGACGAGAGUCUGAACCAGCCAAGUAGCGUGAAGGAUGACUGCCCUAUGGGUUGUAAACUUCUUUUAUAUGGGAAUAAAAUGUUCCACGUGUGGGAUUUUGUAUGUAUCAUAUGAAUAAGGAUCGGCUAACUCCGUGCCAGCAGCCGCGGUAAUUCGGAGGAUCCGAGCGUUAUCCGGCUUUAUUGGGUUUAACGUGUGCGUAGGUGGAUUGUUAAGUCAGUUGUGAAAGUUUGCGGCUUAACCGUAAAAUUGCAGUUGAAACUGGCAGUCUUGAGUACAGUAGAGGUGGGCGGAAUUCGUGGUGUAGCGGUGAAAUGCGUAGAGAUCACGAAGAACACCGAUUGCGAAGGCAGCUUACUGGACUGCAACUGACGCUGAGGCGCGAAAGUGUGGGGAUCAAACAGGAUUAGAUACCCCAGUAGUC
rnacentral:rRNA from 1 species